GACGAACGCUGGCGGCGUGCUUAACACAUGCAAGUCGAACGGUGAAGCGCCUUCCUUUUUGGUGGGUGUGGAUGAGUGGCGAACGGGUGAGUAACACGUGAGUAACCUGCCCCCUUCUUCUGGAUAACCGCAUGAAAGUGUGGCUAAUACGGGAUAUUCUGGGUCUGUCGCAUGAUGGGUCUGGGAAAGAUAUUGUUUCGGUGGGGGAUGGGCUCGCGGCCUGUCAGCUUGUUGGUGGGGUGAUGGCCUACCAAGGCGGUUACGGGUAGCCGGCCUGGGAGGGUGGCCGGCCAGACGGGGACUGCGGCCCGGCCGGGACUGAGACGGGGGGCAGCAGGGGGGAUUAUGGCACAGUGGGGGAAAGCCUAAUGCGGCGGGGCGCCGGAAGGAACGAAGCCCUUCGGGUUGUGAACCUCUUUCGCUAGUGAAGCGGGCCUGCCUGGUUUGUGGGGGGGUUGACGGUAGCUGGAAAAGAAGCGCCGGCUAACUACGUG
rnacentral:rRNA from 1 species